rnacentral:rRNA from 1 species
ACCAGAGCUACAUCACCCUGCAGUUCUCACCCACUGAAGCUAAGCAGGGUUGAGCCUGGCCAGUACCUGGAUGGGAGAUAUCCUGGGGAAAUCUAAUUUUGCUGCUGGAA